rnacentral:rRNA from 1 species
AGCGCAGGUGGGAAGUUAAGUCGAAUGUGAAAUCUACGGGCUCAACCCGUAAAUUGCGUUCGAUACUAUCUUUCUUGAGUGGAGUAGAGGCAAGCGGAAUUCCCGGUGUAGCGGUGGAAUGCGUAGAUAUCGGGAGGAACACCAGUGGCGAAGGCGGCUUGCUGGGCUCUAACUGACACUGAGGCUCGAAAGCGUGGGUAGCAAACA